CCUACGGGAGGCAGCAGUGAGGAAUAUUGGUCAAUGGUCGGGAGACUGAACCAGUCAAGCCGCGUGAGGGAUGAAGGUACAGAGUAUCGUAAACCUCUUUUGUAAGGGAACAAAGGCGGGGACGUGUCCCCGGAUGAGUGUACCUGAAGAAAAAGCAUCGGCUAACUCCGUGCCAGCAGCCGCGGUAAUACGGAGGAUGCGAGCGUUAUCCGGAUUUAUUGGGUUUAAAGGGUGCGCAGGCGGUCUGUUAAGUCAGCGGUCAAAGCCCGGGGCUCAACCCCGGCCCGCCGUUGAAACUGGCAGUCGCGAGUUGGAGAGAAGUAUGCGGAAUGCGCGGUGUAGCGGUGAAAUGCAUAGAUAUCGCGCAGAACUCCGAUUGCGAAGGCAGCAUGCCGGCUCCACACUGACGCUGAGGCACGAAAGCGUGGGUAUCGAACAGGAUUAGAUACCCUUGUAGUC
rnacentral:rRNA from 1 species